UUGGCGGACGGGUGGAGUAACGCGUGGAAAACCUGCCGUAUACUGGGGGAUAACACUUAGAAAUAGGUGCUAAUACCGCAUAAGCGCACAGCUUCGCAUGAAGCGGUGUGAAAAACUCUGGUGGUAUACGAUGGUUCCGCGUCUGAUUAGCUAGUUGGUGGGGUAAUGGCCUACCAAGGCAACGAUCAGUAGCCGGCCUGAGAGGGUGAACGGCCACAUUGGGACUGAGACACGGCCCAAACUCCUACGGGAGGCAGCAG
rnacentral:rRNA from 1 species